rnacentral:rRNA from 1 species
AACAAACGCUGGCGGCGUGCCUAAUACAUGCAAGUCGAACGGGGAAAGUAGCAAUACGAGUACUAGUGGCGCACGGGUGAGGAAUACAUGGGUAAUCUGCCCUCGAGCUCGGGAUAACCAGUCGAAAGACUGGCUAAUACCGGAUAUGACCACAAGAUCUGAGGAUCAAGGGGUAAAAGGUUUUUCGCUUGAGGAUGAGCCCAUGUGGGAUUAGCUAGUUGGUGUAGGUAACGGCUCACCAAGGCGACGAUCCCUAACUGGUCUUAGAGGAUGAUCAGUCACACUGGAACUGAGACACGGUCCAGACUCCUACGGGAGGCAGCAGUAGGGAAUAUUGCACAAUGGAGGAAACUCUGAUGCAGCGACGCCGCGUGAGUGAUGAAGGCCUUCGGGUCGUAAAGCUCUGUCGUAUGGGACUAACAAAUAGAAGGUACCAUGCAAGAAAGG